ensembl:lncRNA
ACUCAUAGGGGUGUAUUAAAUGAAUUAGUUAUGGAAGAGUGCCUCCCAGCAUCUACCUUUAUAGAGCACUUGCUGUUAUUAGUAUUUUUACUACUGCUAUGGUUGUUACAGCUGCAGCUGUUAUUAUUGCUAUUAUUUCUUCUUUGGUGUCUUUUCAUUGGUCUCUUCUCAACCCCUUCUAUCUUUCCUCCAGACUCCUAAGUGUAUCUGUGUUCUUGGGCCUCUUCUUUUUUCUUGCUUCAUAAAGGAAACCUCCUUGUGUCAGAUGGAUCAGAUUUGCUUGUGUACCACUCAGAUCCUCUGAACCCCACUUCCCUCUAUAGCCACUGCUGUGGUGACCAGUCCUUGCAGGCUCUGGCCAGUUUCUCAUGGGUGCAACCCACAGCACCUCACCUUGGGUCCCUAACAGGUAUUUCUUGACAUGGGCCACUUGCAGAAAACUUGCAACACAAACAUGCAGGUAAGUCCACUCUUCUGAAGGCAUCCCUGACCAAUGGGGAACAAGAGACAACAGAUCAACACUUCCUCCUCUCUUUUAGCCCUUAGGUGAGUGGUUCAUUUCAAACAGCUGCUCACAAGGUCCCAAGACACCCUUAACUAGGAAACAGUUCGAUAAUGACUUCUUGAUUGGCUUCUUCUCCUUCCCUGAAUUUACUCCUUUCUAACUUCUGCUCCCUGGGAUCAAAUUUCCAGAGGAAUUUUCUGCUGCAAGUCUUUGCCUCAGGUUGUUUUGGGGAAAAACCAAGCUAAGACACUCAUUUAUUAAGUCGAGUAGUAUUUAACUUCAAGGAUUAUCUUCUGUGCAGUUUUAUCUCUAAGAGAUGAGUUCAUGAGAGAAACAUGAAGUGUUUCGGUGUGUGGAGUGAGGAGAGGGAUGAUCUGAAGCUGAGAAACAGAAGGGAGAAGUUGAAGCAGUCCUGUGGGACUUCAUGUGACCGCAAUGUCUCACUGGGAAUCGAUCCUGAAAAGGGGAACGCCUUCCUUCAUGUGGCCAGCUGUAGAGUUAUUACAACAUCAUUGAAAGUGAUCAAAAUCUGGAAUCAACCGAACUAUCC